rnacentral:rRNA from 1 species
CCCCGUGCAUCAUCGUGGGCACCUGCAUCCAAAACGUAGUGAGCUAGAGUACGGUAGAGGGCUGGUGGUAUUUUCCGGCGCAGCGAUGAAAUGCGUAGAUAUAGGAAGGCAACCCCAGUGGAGAAGGCGACCACGUGGACUGAUACUGACACUGAGGUGAGAAAGCGUGGGCAGCAAACAGGAUUAGAUACCGUGGUAGUCCACGCCGUAAAUGAUGUCAACUAGUUGUUGGGUUCCUUGAGAACUUAGUAGCGCAGCUAACGUGAUAAGUUGACCGCCUGGGGAGUACGGCCGCAAGUUUAAAACUCAAAUGAAUUGACGGGGGCCCGCACAAGCGGUGGAGCAUGUGGUUUAAUUAGAAGCAACGAGAAGAACUUUACCUGGCCUUGACAUGGUGAGAACUUUCCAGAGAUGGAUUGGUGCUUUGGGGAACUCAGACACAGGUGGCGCAUGGCUGUUGUCAGCUCGUGUCGUGAGAUGUUGGGUUAAGUCCCGUAACGAGCGCAACCCUUGUCUUUAGUUACCAGCACCUCGGGUGGGCAUUUUAAGGAGACUGCCGGUGACAAACCGGAGGAAGGUGGGGAUGACGUCAAGUCUUCAUGGCCCUUACGGCCAGGGUUACACACGUGUUCCAAUGGUCGGUACAGAGGGUUCCCAAGCCGGGAGGUGGAGCUAUUCUCACAAAACCGAUUGUAGUCCGGAUCGCAUUUUGCAAUUGGAUUGCGGGAAUUCGGAAUCGUUAGUAAUCCUGAAUCAGAAUGUCACGGUGAAUACGUUCCCGGGCCUUGUACACACCGCCCGUCACACCAUGGGAGUGGGUUGCUCCAGAAGCAGUUAGCUAACCUUCGGAGGACGGUACC